CAUCUCAGUUUUGCCAGUGUGAACCCUGAAUGCCACUACUCAGCUUCUAGAAAUAAGAAAGGCCGGGGUACAGCUGAGUGAUGGAUUGACCUUUGUUCAGCAUGACACUGUGGGGAGAUGAAGCAUGAACCCAUAAUGGUCAGCGUGGACGGACUACACCCAGAGAAGGCAACCUCCAGGACACAUUUUCUGCAGAGUAAGGAUUCUGCUGGAUGCUCUAGGAUUCUGCUGGAUGCUCUCACCAUCUCACAAUGGCCACAUUUCUGUUACUGAACUUAUGAUGGAGUAUUAUAAUUACCUGUAUAUUGAAUGUAUCUCCCCAAAUUGCCCAGCUCUAUUCACAAUACCCAAGACAUGGAAGCAACACAAAUGUCCAUUGAUGGAUGAUUGAAUUAGGAAGAUGUGCUAUAUAUACACAAUGGAACACUACUCAGCCUUAAAAAAGAACAAAACAAUGCCAUUUGCAGCAACAUGGAUGGAAUUAGAGAUGCUCAUACUGAGUGAAAGGACUGCCUCAGGAAGCCACGGAGAAGACUGACCAGUAUAUGAAACCACACAGGGAAAGGUUUUAUAUGUAUAUUACCUUUGUUUUACAUGUAUAAAUAAUUCUUUUUUUUUUUUUUUGCCAUACCCAUGUACUCAUGGUAUGUGAAAGUUCCCAGGCCAGGGAUCAAACCCGCUCCAAGCUGCAACCAGAGCCACAACAGUGGUGAUAAUGCUAGGUUCUUAACCCACUUGCCACAAGGGAACUCUCAAUAACUGUUUAUUAAAUGCCUUUGCUGGAAAUAUUGGUUUGAAUUUCUGACUACUUUUGUAAAUCAAGAGAAAUUAUUUGCUCCUAUUGUAAACUUUGUAAUUUAAUAAAACUUAAACUUUGUAAUUUAAUAAAUUUUAUUCUAGAAAGCUUGUGGGGGAGCAAACUGAGCCUAUUCUGAUCAACCUUAUCCUGGUCAACUGAGGCUGGGGGUAGAGAGAGGGAGAGAGAAUGAGAGGUAUUGAGAGAGUUGUGUUUCAUUUUAUUUAUAGAAAAUAAAGUUGAUGAUUAUUAC
rnacentral:lncRNA from 1 species